UCAGACUUGGGGGAAAUUGGUAUUCAGACAGGACCAUCCGUGAGGGCUUGCUCUCAUUCACCAGCUUCAAGCAUUCAAGUUUGUGGAGUUCGCAAAGGCUUUUGGAAACCCCAGAUUGAUAGUAACUCAAAUCUCCAGAUAUCCGAAGAGUCUGAACACUAGGUAGUCUGCCCAAUAUAUCAGGAGUACAACUACUAGGGUUUAAAGCUGAUAUGAAAAUGAGAUUUUUCAGAGAGCUAGAAUAAUUUUUUGGAGGUGCGGGCAGAGUGAUAGAACCAAAGUUUAGAUGCAUGAGUUUUUGCAUCAUCCAAAUAUCCUCUGGUGACUGAUCUAUGUAGCUAGAUGGCAUUUCUAGUGUUUCAAGGUUUAAAAGGGUGCAUAGCAGUGAAGGAAGGCAUUUGAGCGAAGGGAUAUUCAAUUUCAAAUACUUCAAAAGAUAUAAAUUUUCUAAUCCGGGUGGAUAUUGGUCCAGGACUGCAGAACCCAUGUUCAAUACCCGAAGGUGUUUGAACUUUUUACAAAAAUUCUCGCAAUCUAUCAGAGCGAGAUGAUCGCUUGCCGAACUGUGAUUCAGAAAAGAUUGGAGAUACAUGUCAGAAUGUUCUAAAGAUAAAAACCCAGUCAGAUCUUCGGCAAUGACGCACCGUUUAACAUUUGCCACUCGCUCCUCUUCCCUGUCAUGCACCAAGACAAAUCCGGCCUUCUCUGCCACAAAAUACAAUGAAGUAUAUACAAAACUUGGAACAUAACACGCUUUAAUUGUGGCUCCGGCGCUUCUCUUACUCACUUGAAUGAAGCCGCGAUGGAUUAGUUCUUUCAAGUAAUGUUCGGCAGUUUCUUCACCGUUGUAUGGUAUGAAACCUUCAGCUACCCACAACUGAUAUAAUUGCUCCGUAGAUAUCUCAAUACUUGGAAGGAAGACACACAAAUAGAUGAAGCAGACUUUCAAGUAAAAAGGUAACUCCAUCACAGAAAAAAUUUGUCUCCAAACUGUCGGAAUCGCUUCGCCUUGAAGAUAAUUUUCUAAUGGCAUACUUCCAUAGUGUAGGAUGAAAAAUUGCCACGCUUCAUGCUUUAAUCUGAUCAAUGGUCCUCCAAAGAGCACUGAAUCACGCCGAAUCUUCUCUCCGUUUUCCAUUUCCAACGACGCAAGGAGCUGUGGAUCACUGACCAACAUCAAUACUCUGCUUCCAUUCUGAUUAUCAGGAAGAACUUCUUCAAGAUCACUCCAUAUCUCACUGUCAUCGAAGACAUCAUCAAGCACAAUAAAGUACUUCCUGUUUGUUAGGUAAUCUCGAAGAAUAGAUUUCUUCAAUUGAUAAUCUUCCCCGAUAAUUACACUAACCCGAGAUGGAGGCAUCACCGACUUGAUUAUGUCAUCCAAUAUCUUGCCAAAAACGUAGGUUAUAGAAACCCUGACCCAAGCAAGACAGUCAAAAUAGAACUUGACGUGGUUAUUAUUGUAAGUAUCUGCAGCAAAAACAGUCUUGUCGAAGCCACUGCUGUCGAGAAUUGCAACCACUGCAAGCCCAGAUGGUCCCUCAAUCAAUAGAUCAAACAACUCCUCCCUGCCCCUUUCAAAUUCAUUGAUAUCAAGCCGAGGUUGUCCCUCACUCAAUAGGCGAAUGAUUUCGUUACUUUUUUCACUGAUAUCAAAACCAUUGUCGCCGGGUGGAAGUUGUUGCAUCCGAUUUCUAAUAUCAAUGAUUUUAGUGUGGAGUCCAACAAGAAGAGCCAUAAUGAUGUUGAUGAUUUCGUUACUUUCACUUUCGUUUUCACUGUUUUGCUGCUGCAUGAUGUUGAUGAAGAAUGUGUCAAUGACUUCCUCAGAGUCACGGACAAAGUUAUUGAUGUCCUUCAGAAUUUCAAAAAUAUCUGCUGUUUCAACGUCUUCUUCAUCGCUUUCUUCUAAGUCCAACAGUUGCAAAAAAGGCAAAGAUAUUUUGGAGUCAUCGAAUUCUUCUCUAAUGAGUUGAAACAAAUGCCGAGCCAUGUCAGCUUCAUAAUUUCCCAGCAGAGUAGUAGCAAUAAUUUCGGACUCCGUAAGAAGGUUUUGAAAAAGUGGAGUUAAAUUUGUUGAAUCUGGCAGCGGCAACGUGCCUUCUUCACCUGCUAACACCCUUUUCAACCUCUCACAAAACAGUCGGAGGUGGAAUUCCAGCAUAUCUCCUUCUCUCUGUAGCAGCCAGAGGUAUUGUUUUUUGCUCCAAGAAAUAUUAAAAGGAUUGGUUCUAUCCUCAAGUGGUUACUGGUGUAAAAUUAAACGCCAUGGGAGAAUUUGAAAGGAAGAUGCCAAGGAACUGGCGAAGUGGCUAAAUUCCACAAAUACGGCAUUAUUGCUCAUUUUUAACUCAAAAAAUUGAUACGCGUUCAUUUAGAGAAAAGUCCAAGACGCGUGCUUUUUGAAAAGAACAGGUAUCCCAAUCGGUAUCCAACCUUUAUCUUAUUUAAUUACUACCAUGACAUAAUUGAUGGUGCUUAAAUCAAUUGUUUCUUUUUUAAUUUAAAGAAUUUUUCAUUAAAAAAUAUUUUAAUAUCAAAUUGCCUUCAGUGGCGUAACAACUGCCUCAAGCCCAGUAACAGGACUAAUUAAAAAUUUUACAAUUUUGGGGCAUGGAAAUAGUAGUAUUAAACAUUAGAAAGGUGAGGUUGUUCUGUUAAAGAAUUGAUAUUGACAUAAUUUUAUUUUGGUUUUCGUGGAAAAAAAAAAUUUGUUGACAAACAAGAAAAUAUUUUUAUAUUUUAAAAUUUAUUAUGCAUAUUUUAUCAUAUUAAAGUAGUUUUAAUAGUAAAUAGAAACAUAAUAUUACGAUAAAUAAAUUAAAAUUUAACUUAUUUUGAAUAUUAUAAAAAAUAAUUUUAAUAUUAUUAAUAGGAAGACAUUGUAUUAAUUUAAAAAUUUUUUAACCCAAAGGUUUAUUUAAAAUCUUUAUUAUAAAUACAAAUAUAAAAUUAAAUAUCAUAAUUUAAAAUUUUUAAUAUUAUUUUAAGUAUGAAAAAUAUUUUAAUAUUAUUAGUCUAGAUCAUAUUACUUAUAUAAUAUUUGUAUUAUUAAAAAUGCUUUAAAAAAGACCUUGUUGUUACUUUUUAAAAAAUUGAGGGCCUGCUUGAUAAUUUUUUCAAAAAGAAAAUGCUUGGUAUAUAGGAGGGGUAGAGAAACAGGACUCCCAAAAUCUCUCACCCUUUUGUAAUUUAAAAAGAAUUAAAAUAUCAAUAAAAAAUAAUAAAGAAAAUAGAAUUUUAUCUGCUCCUUACUCCAUUUUUGCAACUCUCUCACCAUCUCUGUCGAGCAGCCCUCUCUCUCAUUGUCUCUCACUAUUUCAGGAUCUCUCUCUCACUCACACAAUCCUUUCCACGAUUUGAAAUUCUUUGGCCUUCUGCAACUCUUACAAGAAAUUAACGCUUUGGUUCUCCCAAGGGUAGAUUGGUUUUAUUGGGAAGCUAUUAAUUAGAAGGAGGAAAAAGGACUAUAUUUAGAAUAUGAUUUGUUGGAGAAUCUCAAAGUUAAUCAAUUUUCAAGCCACACUUUCAAUAGCCAAUUGAUUUAGUAACCAUUAAUUACUUUAAUUUCCAUAAAUUGUAAUGACAGUGCAAAUGCAUCUGGUUGUGAUAGCUAAGGGUUAGCUUGAAGAAUUAAAUUUCAUAAGAUAUUACUGGAAAAUGCUUUGCAGCUAACGUGCUGCUUCCUUUGCUAGACUACAAUUUCAAAAUUCUCACGAGUUUUCCAUUGUUGUCACAAACCGAGAAAUUAUAAAAUACAUGGCCUGGUUCUUUGGCAAUGACCAUCUCAUCGUCGGCGGUCGUGUCGUCAUUGUCACUGGUCUUGCUCGACCGAGACAGUGAGAGAGAGGUUUGUUAGAUGGAGUUAGUGAGAGAGAGUUGUAAAGAUGGAAUGAUGAUAAAGGAUUCUAUUUUUUUUAUUGUUUUUUAUUAAUAUUUCAACAGGUCUUAGUAUAUAUAUAUAUGAUUGUAAAUAUCAGUUAUACUCAUGUAAUAUGAGUUGUAAUUUGAGCAAUAGUCUCAUGUUAUCAAAAAAAAAAAAUCAAAAAGCAAAGGUUGUUAUGUCGAAGAAUUGAUGUCAACAAAAUUUUAUUUUAGUUUUCGGAAAAAACAAAACAAAAAUAAAAUUUUUGUUGACAAGCAAGAAAAUGUUUUUUAUACUUUACAAUCUGCUAUACAUAUUUUAUCAUAUUAAAGUAAUUUUAAUAAUAUAUGGAAACAUAAUAUUAUAAUAAAUAAAUUAAAAUUACUUUGAAUUAUUGAAUAUUACAAAAAGAUAAUUUUAAUAUUAUUAAUAGGAAAACAUAUUUUAUUUGUAAAAUCUUUUUAAUACACAAAUUCAUUUAAAAUCUUUAUAAUAAAUACAAAUAUAAAUUAAAAAAUAUCAUAAUUUAAAUUUUUUAAUAGUAUUUAAAUAUUAAAAAUACUUUAAUAUUAUUAAUCUACUACAUCAAAUAUAUUAUUUAUAUUAUAUUCGUAUUGAUUAAAACGUUUUAAAGUCAAAUUUUUAAUUAGUGUAUUCAAAGGUACAAAAGAUUUUAGUAUUAUUUUUUAAAAAUUUCAGGAUAUGAAUGAUAAUUUUUUCAAAUUUUAAAGAUGUAAAAAUCUUUUUUUCUGAUAAUUUAUUUCACUUUUGAGAGAAUCCGAAAACGUUAAUUUAACAUUCUUUACCUUUGUGAAAAAAGUGAAAAUCAAGAACUAUUCAAUUUUGUUUUUAUUUGUAAUUCAAAAACUUUAUUCAUUUUCGAUGCUUUUCAAAAGAGAUUCCUUUAAAUCCUUUUGAUGUCUGCAGCUCCUGCUAUUCUCAUAAAUCUCCAUCCCACAUCUACACUAUCAAACUAGUUGAUGGAAAUUCUUAUAAAAAAAAAAAAAAAGUCGAUGGAAAUUGAUCAAUUGCUUUUUGAAAUGGACCCAUUGAGUCAUGUUCAUUUCUGGUCAUAUAAAUUUCUUUACCUUACAGUUUAUACGGUCUUGCUGUUAAUGAAUUCGCUGAGGCAUUAUUGAUCCAAUCUGAGUGAAGUAAUUGUGGGUGAAAAAUAAAUAAAGGAUAGCAGAACGUAGCUGAAGUGCUGAAGGGGCUAUUAAAGAAGAGUGUCACUCGAUCACAAUCACAUUGAUGCACAACUCACUCGUGGCAAAUUCCGACUAUACGUACUGCAAAUUCAGCCAAACCAUACAUGCAUGAACAAAACAUCUUCUCUAAACUAAAAAGCCCACAUCUCUAAAAUCAAUCUACAUAAUGUUGGAGAUGAGGGGUGAAUUGUUAACUCAGUAAAAAAAAAAAAACUCAUGCAUAAGAUUACUAAUAAUAUAAAUUAUAUAUUAAUCAUUAUGAAGAAUCAUAAAUUAGAAAAAUUAAUCAUUUUAUAAUUUAUUACACAAGUAAGAUAAAUCUUAUAAUAAGUUAUAACAUAAAAAAACGUUAUCAAUAAAUAAUCAUUUAAGAAGUCAUUUAACAAUAAAAUCGUUCUUUGAUCAGUUGGUCAUGUCACAUAGUAUCAUCUAUAUUUAUGGUGAUAAUAUUAUUACUUGGUAUUAUCAAAAAACAUGAUUUAACAUUUUAGAGGAAAUUCUUGCCUUUUAAAAAAAACAUGUAUGCAACAGCUACCCAUGCUUGAUCUUACAAAUGAACAAAUAAUUUUUCUCAAUGAAAAGAAUUUUUUUUUUAAAUUGAUUUAAUUGCACCAAUUAUGAUGAUUUUUUGCCAAAAAAUUAUUUUUUGGAAAACAUAGUGAGAGAAAAUUAGUGACGAUUAUUUGUUUAGAUUGUAUAAAUAGCUCAAACAUAAUCCCUUAAUAACCNNNNNNNNNNNNNNNNNNNNNNNNNNNNNNNNNNNNNNNNNNNNNNNNNNNNNNNNNNNNNNNNNNNNNNNNNNNNNNNNNNNNNNNNNNNNNNNNNNNNAGGGAGAUCGUCGGGGACAAUCUGAACGGCCGACGCCGAUGAAAUGGAAGGGUUUACCAGAGGAGUGGAUGCGAAGAGUGCAGGGACGGCCGCAGAGAGAGAGCGGCGGAGAGCGGCGACGGACGGUAGUCGGUAUGGGCCAUUGCUUGCGCGUCGGUAAUUGUCUCGAGUGAGAGAGUGAAGGGUUUUGUUUAGGGUUUUGGGAAAUGAAAAAUGCAAAUGUUUGAUUUUGUUGCUAGAAACUUCUUCUGCCGCUGCCUUUUAUUUUCGCUAUAAUAAUAUUAAUAAUUUGUUAAUAAAAUAUUUUCUUAAAAAAGAUAAAUUUCUACGACAAAAUUUAUAUUAAAUCAAAUUGUAAAAAUGUCUAUUAGGGUUAAUUUCUCCUUAAUAUUAUUAUUAGUAGAAGUAGAUUUUCGAAUUAGUCUUGAUAUAUUUCAGAGUUGUAUUAUAAAUGUAUAUGUAUCUGGAUUGCAAUUGUAUUUUUAAAAAAUAUAAUUUUUUUAAUUAUUGCACAAUAAAUGUAGAAAGUGUCUAUAAAAUAAUAUUAUUAGAACUAUGAAAAGAUAUUAUUUUAGAGUAGUUAUUUAUUUAUUUUUGAAUAAAUAAUUUAUUAAUUUAUUGAUAAAUUAAUAUUUAUUAAUUUAAAGAGAGAUUUUUUUUUUGUGGGUUUUAAGAAGAGUUUUGUUGGUAUAUGUAUAAACUUAUAAAGAAAUACAAAAAAUGCUUCCUCAAGUCAAUAAUAUUUACUUUAAUUCAUAAUAAUAUAGUUUAAUCAAGAAACUUGUAAUUAUACUAUAUCUUUCUUUCUUUGUUCAGUUUGGUGGGACAUUGUGAUAAAUCAUUGGAUUAAAAUGCAUUUGUAAAUGAAAACUUGUUAAAACCUAAUUUAUUUGGGAAAAACAUAUUAUUUACUCUUUUUUUUUCCCGCUCUCUGACAAUUGAGGUAUGGGUCAAGCUUGAAAGUAUCUUAAAAUCAGACAACAAUUUAACGAUUUUUUGUUUUUAGAUAACUGCUGGUAUGCUCUACAAUGAUAAGUGAUAACCUAGGUGUUUGCAUUAAUUAUGAUUCAACAAUUUAAAAAAUGAAAACAUAUGGAAGACGGCCGCAAUUAAAUUUAUUGUAUGAAAAUAUUUCAAUGAAAUUUUAAAAAUUUAGUACUUGUUAUCUUAUCGAGAGUUUUUAAUUAUAUUACUACUUGAACUUGACUGCUUUUGUAUUGAAUUCCUAGCGUUGCCAUUGCUUCUACUCAAAAGCCAUUUAAGUUUGUGUAAGCUACCUGUAGUUUGAACAACAAUUUUCUAGAUGAAUUUUUUCCUACAUGCUUGUUCUCGUAUGACCCAAAAUCCUGCUACAUCAGUUGUAUUAGAAAUUAAUCAACUGGGUUACAAUUAUGCAUCCCCACCAAUAUUCAAGCAAUCUACAGAAACAUUUCUUGAGGAAAGAAACUCAUAUCGCCACUAGGCUUUUAAUGAGGCUCAUUUUUAUGAAUCUGGAUGGCAUUAGAUAUCUCUCCGAAUAUUGGUGGGAGUAUAUCGCUGAUCUCUGGGCUAUACUACAAAGUGUAUGUACGUUGACUCUCAAUAAAUACAAACGAUUCUCUGAUCUGAUUCAAAACAUCAGUACAUGCAUCAUUUUAAUGAGAAAGAAUAUUCUAAGAACGAAAUUGAAGGUGCAAUCAGCAGCUAAAAUGAAGCCAGAAAUGUACACGCAUGAGGAACUUUUCCUAGAAGAUUGAUAUUUCUUUAACUAGCAAACCAUAUAAGUCCAAAGCUAACCAAACCAUACCUGCAAGUCCGGGGCUUAAAUGGAGUACUUGUAAGCAUAAAACAUUAAUCAAAACACAGUAUAGACACACACACACACCCCUACAUACAUACCAGCAAAUUCGGAAUAGAAAAAGGAGUGCAACUAUUCAAGUUUGCAGACAAUAUUGCAACCAUGGCAUAUUAAAGCAAAUCCUUGAAAUCAGCUAAACAAAACAAUGCCCUGUCUCAUGAAUCGAUGCUCAAUUAAAAUUGCAAUUGAAAGUCCGGCUGGUGUUGUUUCCCUCCCCAGUUUUGCCUACAUAAGUAAACGGAAAUAAGAAUCAUAAAUGAAAAUCUACUUUGACAGUUCUUAUUAGAUAGAUAUAAAAAGAUCUUUCUUUGUUUCUCUGCUGUAAUUUGUAGACAUGUUCCUAUUGUGCAUAAUUUACAUUAUAGGCAAAUAUUCUUAUACCAUCAUAGGCAAAACAUGACACUAACAAUUGAAGGUUUUAUGACCUCCUUGAAGGUUUUACGAUAAACAUAAAUCUACUGAGAAAGUGGGAAAAAAAAGAAAAUGCAUAUAAAAAUAUGAGUUAUCAGAUAAGAUUGAAACUCACCCAAUUCAAUCCAUCAGAUUCCGCAAGGAUAUAACUGGAUGUCAUACCGCCACUCCAUAUCCUCGAAAGUCCGUAGUCCUUGUCUCAACUGUGUCUGGGGCCAGUGUAAGUCCAAUUUGCGCAAGCUCUUUAUGCACCACAGCUCUUCUGGAAGCUUUCUCAAGUAAGCACAUGGGUUGACAAUUAAGCUUUCAAGUUUCGGCAUUGCUCCAGCCCCCAUCGUCCACUCAUCUAGCCAAUACAUUGAUUUCAGGUGCAAAACCUUAAGUUCGGGAAAGCUACUCAAGCCAACACAAGCAAGCUUUCUUCCUAAAUACGAGUUCUGCUUCAGUUUCAGCACUCGAAGGAGUGGAAGAUUUUCCAGAAUUGGCAUGGGAUCCUGUUGUGAAUUUGGCUUUGUUACGACUAACCAAAUUCUCCCCAAGACACUAAUUUUGUAUCAAAUGGUUUGAGAAUUAACAGCACAGAUUAUGCAGUAACAAAUCACACGCAAGAACCAAAGCAUUAAAGAAACAAAGUGACACCAAGUAUAAGUGGUUCAGCACCAAGAUGUGGUGCCUACAUCCACUGGAAACAAAGCAACAGUCUUUCACUAUUUAGUUCACAAAACAAUACAAUAAUAGGAAUUUAUUUACAGAGAACAAGAACUUGUAAACCCCUUUCUCUCUCUAUCUUCUCUCUACUCUCUGUGUUUCCCAAUUCAUGUGUAGACGAUGACAGAGCCUGCACUUUUAACCUCUGUUUCUGGGUUGUUACAUUAACUACCCUUCCCGCCAAAACUAACCAAGAAGCUCCUCUCUCACGUGCUUGUCACAAGUUGGCAUAAGUGAGCUUGAAACGGCAAUCACAGAUGUCGUUCUUGAGCUAACGAGAUUUCAGCUUCACUACACGUGCAAACCACGUGUAUUACUUAAAGGUUGAAUGACCAAAGAGAGGAUGUCGGUUUUACUCUGAAGAACUCCUCAAGCGACAAGUCGGCUGAGACUAACUCCUCUAAACGACUUGUAGCACUUGAGUUUCGAGUUCACUGUUUAUCAAUCUCCACCUUGAACUCAGAACUCUAGCUACUCAUGUUUACUUCAUUCUCUUCCAUUUGCAGCUAAUCAGAAGCUGCAAAUCCCUACUAAGCUCAAACAGAAGUUGAGCUUGGCAGAUGGCAUAGCUUUAGUCAACAUAUCAGCUGGAUUUUGAUCAGUGUGAACCUUGAGCAUCUUCACAAUUCCCUUGGAAACUUCAAGUCUAACAAAAUGCAGCUUUACAUCGAUAUGUUUUGUUCUUUCGUGAUGGGUCUGGUUUUUACUCAAAUGUAUUGCACUCUGGCUAUCACAAUAUACUUCAACUGUUUCUUGUUUUGCUCCUAACUCAGAGACCAUUCCUUUUAACCAGAUGGCUUCCUUAAAAGCUUCUGCAGCUGCUGUAUAUUCGGCUUCAGUUGUGGACAAAGCUACCACACUUUGCAGUGUAGCUUUCCAAUUCACAGUGCAGCCUCCCAAAGUGAAUAUAAAACCUGUCUGAGACCUCAUUUUAUCAAGAUCUCCAGCGAAAUCUGAGUCAACAUACCCCACCAGCUUGUGCCCUUCCUGUUUUAACCCUCCAUAUAGCAGACCAAACUCCAUAGUGCCUUUCAGGUACCUCAUUAUCCAUUGGACUGCCCUCCAAUGUUCAUAACCUGGAUUUGCCAUGAAUCUACUCACUACACUCACAACAUGUGAGAUAUCAGGUCUAGUGAGAACCAUGGCAUACAUUAGAUUCCCAACUGCACUGGAGUAAGGUAUCCUUGCCAUUUUUCCUUGCUCUGCAUCAGUUUGUGGACACUGUGCAGCAGACAGCUUGAAGUGAUUUGCCAAAGGUGUUUGAACAGACUUAGAUUCAUGCAUCCCAAACCUAAGUAACACCUUUUUAACAUAGCCCUGUUGGGUUAGAAACAUAAGCUUCCUUCUCCUGUCUCUGAUAAUUUCCAUACCUAAGAUCUUCCUUGCAGCUCCAAGAUCUUUCAUAUCGAAUUCACUGCUCAAGAGGUCCUUUAAAUGACUGAUUUCAUUUAUGCUGUGACAUGCUAUAAGCAUGUCAUCCACAUACAGCAUAAGAUAAAUCAUCUUUCCAUCACCAAUGUCCUUAAAGUACACGCAACAAUCAUAAUUGCUUCUCUUAUAGGCAUGUUUUGUCAUGAAACUAUCAAACUUCAAGUACCAUUGCCUAGGAGACUGCUUUAAUCCAUAUAAAGAUUUCUUUAGUAAGCACACAUGAUCUUCCUUGCCAGACACCACAUACCCCUCAGGCUGCUCCAUUACAAUUUCUUCUUGUAAUUCACCAUGCAGAAAGGUUGUUUUAACAUCCAUCUGCUCUAGGUACAAGUCUUGAAUGGCAACUAAAGCUAAGAUGACUCUGAUGGAGGCAUGUUUCACAACUGGAGAGAAGAUUUCAUUGAAAUCAAUCCCCUCUCUUUGUGUGAAACCUCUUGCUACCAGCCUAGCCUUAAACCUACUAGGUUCAGCAUCAAAUAUCCCUUCCUUAAUUUUGAAGAUCCAUUUGCAGCUAACAGUCUUCCUUUUCUCUGGUCUAACUAUCAGUUUCCAAGUUCCAUUUUUCAUUAGUGAUUCAAUUUCCUCAUCCAUAGCCUUCUUCCAUUUCAGCUUAUCCCUGUUGUUUAUAGCUUCUUUAUAGGUUCUUGGCUCUUCUUCAUUUAUCUCUUGUGCAGCUGUUAAUGCAUAAGCUAUCAAAUAUGCUACUGCAUACCUCUUAGGUGGUCUUACAGCUCUCCUCUUUCUAUCCCUGACCAACUGAUAAGAGUUAUUUUCAUUCUCAGCUGGCUCUGACUCCUGAACACCAUCAGAUCCAUCAGCAACCCUUCCUGCAUCUUCUUCAGAUUCUGAUUCAGUCAUAUCUUGCUCAUGGGACUCCACCUGAAACUGAAUACUCCCAGGUUUUAUUUCUGAUCUAUACUCUUUGGAUUCAGUGGCUUUGGAAUUGUUCAAGAUUUCUGACUCAUUGAAAGUUACAUCCCUACUGAUAAUGCAUUUUGGUGGCUUCAGAUCAAUGCACCAUAGCCUAUAGCCUUUAACUCCAUCAGGGUAUCCCAAAAAUCUACACUUUAAGGCUCUUGGCUCCAAUUUGCCUUGUUUGACAUGUGCAUAAGCAACACAGCCAAAGAUUCUUAGUUUAGAGUAAUCAGCAACCCUUCCAGACCAUAGCUCGAUAGGUGUUUUGCAUUCUAUUGCUGUAGAUGGGCUUCUGUUUACCAAGUAGCAUGUUGUGUUUAAGGCCUCUGCCCAGAGUGACUUAGGCAGCUUUGAGUAUAGCAGCAUACACCUCACGUUGUCCAUUAAGGUUCUAUUCAUCCUCUCAGCAAGACCAUUUUGCUGAGGUGUGUGUAUGACUGUUUUGUGCCUCAUAAUCCCAUGUCUUUCACAGAAGUCCCCAAACUCUUUAUUGCAGAAUUCCAUUCCAUUAUCUAUUCUUAGAGCUUUUACUUUCAAACUUGUUUGUGUUUCUACCAGAAUUUUCCAUCUCUUGAACCUUUCCAAAACUUCAUCUUUGGUUUUGAGUACAUACACCCAAACCAUCCUUGAAUAGUCAUCUAUUAGGGAUAAGAAAUACCUACAGCCACCAAGGGAAUCUACCUGUGCAGGUCCCCACAGAUCAGAGUGUAUAUAUGCAAGCCUCUCUUUGGUAGAAUGAACUGCAGAUUCAAACUUGAGCCUGGAAGCCUUCCCUAGAAUACAGUCUUCACAGAACCCCAAAGAACUUAGCUUGUCACUUCCAAACACCCCCUUCUUUUGAAGCUCCUUCAGUCCUCUCUCCCUCAUGUGCCCCAACCUCAAGUGCCAUAGUUUUGCUUUAUCUUCACUCUUCUCAGUGACACUUGCCUCUCCAACAGUUGUAUGUCCAUUAAGCACAUACAAACCAUUUUGCUUGGUACCUUUCAUUAUGACUAUUGAGCCUCUGAUAACUUUUAAUGUCCCAUUUUCAGCCUUAAUGACACAUCCAGUUUGAUCAAGCAUGCCAAUAGAUAUUAGGUUCCUUUUGAGUUCAGGAACAUGCCUAACCUGAGUCAGUUCUCUAACCAUGCCAUCAUACAUCUUAAGGCUUACAGUCCCAAUCCCAACUACUUUACAAACUGAAUUAUUUCCCAUCAGCACCAUACCCCCAUCACAGGACUGAUAUGUAGUAAAGUAAUUUCUAUUUGGACUCAUAUGAAAAGUACAUCCAGAGUCUAGUACCCACUGACCUUGAGUUUUUUCUUUUGUGGCAAUGAGGACUUCAGCUGUCUCAAAACUGGUUUCUUCUGUGGCUAUUGCUGCAUUUCCAGAUUUUUCUUUUGAUUCCUUUUGUUUUGUUUUUCUCUCAGGGCAAUCCCUCUUGAAAUGCCCUUCUUUGUGGCAGUGAAAACACUUCAAGUGUUUUUGCUUUGACUUUGAUCUUCCUUGCUUCUUUCCUUUGUAUUCUCUUUUUUCAGAUCUUCCCCUUGCCAUCAGCCCUUCACUUGAUUCACUCUCUGAGUUAUCUUGUUUGUCUUUUAACUUCUUGGUACCAAGAGCAGAUUUAACCUCUUCCAAGGAGAGUGAUUGCCUUCCAUAUAACAAGGCAUCCACAAAAUGUUCAUACGAUUUUGGUAAAGAACUGAUUAACAGCAAAGCCUUGCUCUCAUCACUCAGUCCUUCAUCAAUUGUUUCCAGUUCAUCACAAACUUUAUUAAACUCAUCUAUGUGUUCAUCAAGUGAUGCUCCUUCAAUCAUCCUCAGUGAGAACAUCUUUUUCUUGAUGUAUAGCCUGUUUGCUAAAGACUUUGUCAUAUACAAUUGUUCCAGUUUUGCCCAGAGCCCAGCAACAGUCUUUUCUUUUGCAACUUCCCUUAUCACUGAGUCACCAAGACUGAGGAUGAUAGUGCUUCUUGCCUUUUUGUCAAUCUCAGCCAUCUGUUCUGGAGUUCUUGAAGAAGAAGCUUCUGCAUUUUCACUCUUGAUGACUGGAUCAAUGGCAUCUCCCAGACCUUGUGUGAUUAACAAUGCUUCCAUCUUGAUCCUCCACAUAUUGAAGUCAUUCUGACCCGUGAACUUCUCAAGAUCCACCUUGUUUGUCAUUUCUUGAACCUUGAUACAGAAAAGAGGGCUCUGAUACCAAUUUGUUGUGAAUUUGGCUUUGUUACGACUAACCAAAUUCUCCCCAAGACACUAAUUUUGUAUCAAAUGGUUUGAGAAUUAACAGCACAGAUUAUCCAGUAACAAAUCACAUGCAAGAACCAAAGCAUUAAAGAAACAAAGUGACACCAAGUAUAAGUGGUUCAGCACCAAGAUGUGGUGCCUACAUCCACUGGAAACAAAGCAACAGUCUUUCACUAUUUAGUUCACAAAACAAUACAAGAAUAAGAAUUGAUUACAGAGAACAAGAACUUGUAAACCCCUUUCUCUCUCUAUCUUCUCUCUACUCUCUGUGUUUCCCAAUUCAUGUGUAGACGAUGACAGAGCCUGCACUUUUAACCUCUGUUUCUGGGUUGUUACAUUAACUACCCUUCCCGCCAAAACUAACCAAGAAGCUCCUCUCUCACGUGCUUGUCACAAGUUGGCAUAAGUGAGCUUGAAACGGCAAUCACAGAUGUCGUUCUUGAGCUAACGAGAUUCCAGCUUCACCACACGUGCAAACCACGUGUAUUACUUAAAGGUUGAAUGACCAAAGAGAGGAUGUCGGUUUUACUCUGAAGAACUCCUCAAGCGACAAGUCGGCUGAGACUAACUCCUCUAAACGACUUGUAGCACUUGAGUUUCGAGUUCACUGUUUAUCAGAUCCUCCAUUAGCUCAGUAUUUGAUAAGCUCAGUUGGAUCAGACUUGGGGGAAAUUGGUAUUCAGACAGGACCAUCCGUGACGGCUUGCUCUCAUUCACCAGCUUCAAGCAUUCAAGUUUGUGGAGUUCGCAAAGGCUUUUGGAAACCCCAGAUUGAUAGUAACUCAAAUCUCCAGAUAUCCGAAGAGUCCGAACACUAGGUAGUCUGAACAAUAUAUCAGGAGUACAACUACUAGGGUUUAAAGCAGAUGUGAAAAUGAGAUUUUUCAGAGAGCUAGAAUAAUUUUUUGGAGGUGCGGGCAAAGUGAUAGAACCAAAGUUUAGAUGCAUGAGUUUUUGCAUCAUCCAAAUAUCCUCUGGUGACUGAUCUAUGUGGCUAGAUGGCAUUUCUAGUGUUUCAAGGUUUAAAAGGGUGCAUAGCAGUGAAGGAAGGCAUUUGAGCGAAGGGAUAUUCAAUUUCAAAUACUUCAAAAGAUAUAAAUUUUCUAAUCCGGGUGGAAAUUGGUCGAGAACUGCAGAACCGAAGUUCAAU
rnacentral:lncRNA from 1 species